GUUUGUCUUGCAAUGGGCACUGAAAUGGGAUGCCCAGGGAGGUGGUGGAGUCACCGACCCUGGAGGUGUUCAAUGAAUGUUUGGACGUUGUGUUGAGGGACAUGGUUUAGUGAGAACUAUUGGUAAUGGUUGAACUGGGUGAUCCUGUGGGUCUUUUCCAACCUUGGUGAUUCUAUGUUCUAUGCUUUAUCUGGACAGGCUUUUCUUAGGAAAGGAGCCUUUACCAAAUACAGACCUGGAUUCUGCUCUGUUAGAGUUUGUCUGAUGCUUUCCAGAAGGUGAACCUCCACACAUCAAUUCUGCAGAAGGGGUUAGAGGUCCGCUAAUACCAUCCUUGCUGAAAACAGCUGUAACUUGAAGAACAGCAACAGCUGGAGGUCAAGCAGCUAUCAUCCCUGAAAUAGUUGCCUUCUCACUGGUAUUGAAACUACUACUUGUCAUCAGCUAGAUCACUUCAAAACACUCCCUGUACUAUGAAGAAACAAGUGGGCUUCCUGUCUCAGAAGACCAAUGUGAAGUGACAUGUUGAGGCAGUACUGGCAUUUCUAUCAUCACCAUUACCAGGGCUUGAGUUUAAGUAGGACAAAGAAGAUGGGAAAGGAGAUUUCUUCAGCUGCAAGAAGAGGAAACAGUAUCCUGGGCUGCAUUCAACAUAACUUUGCCAGGAGGUUGAUGAAGGUCAACCUCUACUCAGCACUGUCAAGAGAAUCCUCAGCUGGCCUUUAUCUGACUGGUCAUACAGCACACCACUGUACAGCGUUUAGGACACAGGAGGAAAAAAAUCUUUUUCUGCAGGCAUAAUUAAAUGCUAAGAUCAGCAUUAGGAG
rnacentral:lncRNA from 1 species